UAGACCCGAAACCCGGUGAUCUAGCCAUGGGCAGGUUGAAGGUUGGGUAACACUAACUGGAGGACCGAACCGACUAAUGUUGAAAAAUUAGCGGAUGACUUGUGGCUGGGGGUGAAAGGCCAAUCAAACCGGGAGAUAGCUGGUUCUCCCCGAAAGCUAUUUAGGUAGCGCCUCGUGAAUUCAUCUCCGGGGGUAGAGCACUGUUUCGGCAAGGGGGUCAUCCCGACUUACCAACCCGAUGCAAACUGCGAAUACCGGAGAAUGUUAUCACGGGAGACACACGGCGGGUGCUAACGUCCGUCGUGAAGAGGGAAACAACCCAGACCGCCAGCUAAGGUCCCAAAGUCAUGGUUAAGUGGGAAACGAUGUGGGAAGGCCCAGACAGCCAGGAUGUUGGCUUAGAAGCAGCCAUCAUUUAAAGAAAGCGUAAUAGCUCACUGGUCGAGUCGGCCUGCGCGGAAGAUGUAACGGGGCUAAACCAUGCACCGAAGCUGCGGCAGCGACGCUUAUGCGUUGUUGGGUAGGGGAGCGUUCUGUAAGCCUGUGAAGGUGUACUGUGAGGUAUGCUGGAGGUAUCAGAAGUGCGAAUGCUGACAUAAGUAACGAUAAAGCGGGUGAAAAGCCCGCUCGCCGGAAGACCAAGGGUUCCUGUCCAACGUUAAUCGGGGCAGGGUGAGUCGACCCCUAAGGCGAGGCCGAAAGGCGUAGUCGAUGGGAAACAGGUUAAUAUUCCUGUACUUGGUGUUACUGCGAAGGGGGGACGGAGAAGGCUAUGUUGGCCGGGCGACGGUUGUCCCGGUUUAAGCGUGUAGGCUGGUUUUCCAGGCAAAUCCGGAAAAUCAAGGCUGAGGCGUGAUGACGAGGCACUACGGUGCUGAAGCAACAAAUGCCCUGCUUCCAGGAAAAGCCUCUAAGCAUCAGGUAACAUCAAAUCGUACCCCAAACCGACACAGGUGGUCAGGUAGAGAAUACCAAGGCGCUUGAGAGAACUCGGGUGAAGGAACUAGGCAAAAUGGUGCCGUAACUUCGGGAGAAGGCACGCUGAUAUGUAGGUGAAGCGACUUGCUCGUGGAGCUGAAAUCAGUCGAAGAUACCAGCUGGCUGCAACUGUUUAUUAAAAACACAGCACUGUGCAAACACGAAAGUGGACGUAUACGGUGUGACGCCUGCCCGGUGCCGGAAGGUUAAUUGAUGGGGUUAGCGGUAACGCGAAGCUCUUGAUCGAAGCCCCGGUAAACGGCGGCCGUAACUAUAACGGUCCUAAGGUAGCGAAAUUCCUUGUCGGGUAAGUUCCGACCUGCACGAAUGGCGUAAUGAUGGCCAGGCUGUCUCCACCCGAGACUCAGUGAAAUUGAACUCGCUGUGAAGAUGCAGUGUACCCGCGGCAAGACGGAAAGACCCCGUGAACCUUUACUAUAGCUUGACACUGAACAUUGAGCCUUGAUGUGUAGGAUAGGUGGGAGGCUUUGAAGUGUGG
rnacentral:rRNA from 1 species